CCUCGAAGCUUUUCUGCUGAUCCGUACGUUCGGUGCUAAAUUUAAUGUGCUAAACCCCUGCCGUGCGUGCAGGAAUUGUGUCAGCAGAAGAGGCCCCUCCUCCCCGGCGGUGCUGCCCUCAGCGUGUCUCCGUGCUCUCGGACAUUAACAAAUACCAGAUGGUAAACAGCUCAGCGCUGCCUUUAUCUGUAGGCCCACAGAGGUGAUACAGUGCAGGGAAUGCUUCAGCGGCUCUGAAACGAGGCCAGCAUCGGGCUGGAGGGCAGCAGCUGCUUUCUGCUGCGUGUUGUCACUGUGUGUGCUGCAGUCCUCUGCUUCUGACCAGAAAGGAGGGCAGCAGAGGUUUGGCUGAGUCAGAGGAGGUUCAUGGAGCGCUGUCUGCUGCCCAUCCUCAUGUGCGUGGCAGUGUCCUCCAGGUGUCGGCCCGGCUGCUGGGGGAGGACCCGGCCAUUGAGUCUCCCACACUGCAGUUUACCACAGGCUUCUCUCAUGAUAGUGCCUGGCCAUAUGUGAUUUACUUUGAUCUUGGCACAGAGUCCAAAGUGCUGGAAAGCAAUCACCCAAAUUCUGGACCUGCUGCCCGCCCAGAGGUCCAGCUGCCUGAGAAAGGCUUCUUCUGGGGAAGGCAGAGCACUUCCCAGGGAUGCUGCUUGGGAUCACAGACAAAG
rnacentral:lncRNA from 1 species